rfam:Triticum urartu cultivar G1812 contig616370, whole genome shotgun sequence.
UUACUACACCCUCCGUUCCGAAUUACCGGUCUUAGAUUUGUCUAGAUACGGAGGUAUCUAGCAUUAAAAUGAGUCUAGAUACAUCCGUAUCUAGACAAAUCCAAGACAAAUAAUUUGGAACGGAGGGAGCAAUAU